rnacentral:tRNA from 1 species
GCCUUCGUGGCCUAACGGAUAUGGCGUCGGCCUCCUAAGCCGAGGAUUGCGGGUUCGAAUCCCGUCGGAGGUA